AUGGUUUAUAUCCGCCGCAUUUCAACUUAUAUUGAUUACGCCGGUUCGCCGGCUAUGGCGCUAAACGGUUUGCGGAAUAAGCGUCGCGGACCCGGGGGCGGUACCCGGCGCCUCCACCAAUUCUCCGGCAUUUAGCAUUCGUCGGAACAUUUGCGGGGGCGAAAUAGGAUCGACGCGCGUAGUAAAGGCAAACUUUGUUCCCGGCAUGGUACCACCGUUAUCGGGCCAUAGUCGUUAAAUGCCAACGACAACUUUGCGGGCGAAGCCCGCCUCGCUGCGUAACUUCGGUUAGGUAAGCGCGGUCCGGGGGGCACCGGGCAACAGAAGCCCCCCACU
rnacentral:tmRNA from 1 species